GUUGUAUGGUUAAGUGACUAAGCGUACAUGGUGGAUGCCUUGGCAGUCAGAGGCGAUGAAGGACGUACUAACCUGCGAUAAGCCGUGAGCAGUCGGUAAGAGACAUUACGACUCACGGAUUUCCGAAUGGGGAAACCCACUUAGCAUAAGCUAGGUAUCGCUACGUGAAUACAUAGCGUAGCGAGGCGAACCGGGAGAACUGAAACAUCUAAGUACCCCGAGGAAAAGAAAUCAACCGAGAUUCCCUCAGUAGCGGCGAGCGAACGGGGAUUAGCCCUUAAGCAUCUUGGAAGUUAGUGGAACGGUCCUGGAAAGGCCGGCGAUACAGGGUGAUAGCCCCGUACACGAAAACAACCUUGAUGUGAAAUCGAGUAGGGCGGGACACGUGACAUCCUGUCUGAAUAUGGGGGGACCAUCCUCCAAGGCUAAAUACUCCUGACUGACCGAUAGUGAACCAGUACCGUGAGGGAAAGGCGAAAAGAACCCCUGUGAGGGGAGUGAAAUAGAACCUGAAACCGUGUACGUACAAGCAGUGGGAGCCCUUCGGGGUGACUGCGUACCUUUUGUAUAAUGGGUCAGCGACUUACAUUUUGUAGCGAGGUUAACCGUAUAGGGGAGCCGUAGGGAAACCGAGUCUUAACUGGGCGUCUAGUUGCAAGGUGUAGACCCGAAACCGGGUGAUCUAGCCAUGGGCAGGUUGAAGGUUGAGUAACAUCAACUGGAGGACCGAACCCACUAACGUUGCAAAGUUAGGGGAUGACCUGUGGCUGGGGGUGAAAGGCCAAUCAAACUCGGAGAUAGCUGGUUCUCCCCGAAAGCUAUUUAGGUAGCGCCUCGGACGAAUACUACUGGGGGUAGAGCACUGUUUGGGCUAGGGGGUCAUCCCGACUUACCAACCCCAUGCAAACUCCGAAUACCAGUAAGUAAUAUCCGGGAGACACACGGCGGGUGCUAACGUCCGUCGUGAAGAGGGAAACAACCCAGACCGCCGGCUAAGGUCCCAAAGUUCUGGUUAAGUGGGAAACGAUGUGGGAAGGCUCAGACAGCUAGGAUGUUGGCUUAGAAGCAGCCAUCAUUUAAAGAAAGCGUAAUAGCUCACUAGUCGAGUCGGCCUGCGCGGAAGAUGUAACGGGGCUCAAACCAGGCACCGAAGCCGCGGAUUCACGCUAAGCGUGAGUGGUAGGGGAGCGUUCUGUAAGUCUGCGAAGGUGUGUCGAGAGGCAUGCUGGAGAUAUCAGAAGUGCGAAUGCUGACGUAAGUAACGAUAAAGGGGGUGAAAAGCCUCCUCGCCGGAAGACCAAGGGUUCCUGUCCAACGUUAAUCGGGGCAGGGUGAGUCGACCCCUAAGGCGAGGCCGAAAGGCGUAGUCGAUGGGAAGCAGGUUAAUAUUCCUGCACGACUUGUAAUUGCGAUGGGGGACGGAGAAGGCUAGGUGGGCCAGGCGACGGUUGUCCUGGUGAAAGUGCGUAGGUGGUGUUUCUAGGCAAAUCCGGAGACACAACACUGAGACACGAGACGAACACACUACGGUGUGGAAGCCAUUGAUGCCCUGCUUCCAGGAAAAGCCUCUAAGCUUCAGAUUACAAGUCAUCGUACCCCAAACCGACACAGGUGGUCGGGUAGAGAAUACCAAGGCGCUUGAGAGAACUCGGGUGAAGGAACUAGGCAAAAUAGAACCGUAACUUCGGGAGAAGGUUCGCUCUUGACAGUGAAGUCCCUUGCGGAUGGAGCAGUUGGGAGUCGCAGUGACCAGAUGGCUGGGACUGUUUAUCAAAAACACAGCACUCUGCAAACACGAAAGUGGACGUAUAGGGUGUGACACCUGCCCGGUGCCGGAAGGUUAAUUGAUGGGGUUAGCGCAAGCGAAGCUCUUGAUCGAAGCCCCGGUAAACGGCGGCCGUAACUAUAACGGUCCUAAGGUAGCGAAAUUCCUUGUCGGGUAAGUUCCGACCUGCACGAAUGGUGUAACCAUGGCCAUGCUGUCUCCACCCGAGACUCAGUGAAAUCGAAUUCGCCGUGAAGAUGCGGUGUACCCGCGGCUAGACGGAAAGACCCCGUGAACCUUUACUACAGCUUGGCACUGAACAUUGAACCUACAUGUGUAGGAUAGGUGGGAGGCUUUGAAGGCGUGACGCCAGUUGCGCUGGAGCCGUCCUUGAAAUACCACCCUUGUAUGUUUGAUGUUCUAACGCAGGCCCGUGAAUCCGGGUCGCGGACAGUGCCUGGUGGGUAGUUUGACUGGGGCGGUCUCCUCCCAAAGAGUAACGGAGGAGCACGAAGGUUGGCUAAUCCUGGUCGGACAUCAGGAGGUUAGUGCAAUGGCAUAAGCCAGCUUAACUGCGAGACGGACAGGUCGAGCAGGUACGAAAGUAGGUCAUAGUGAUCCGGUGGUUCUGAAUGGAAGGGCCAUCGCUCAACGGAUAAAAGGUACUCCGGGGAUAACAGGCUGAUACCGCCCAAGAGUUCAUAUCGACGGCGGUGUUUGGCACCUCGAUGUCGGCUCAUCACAUCCUGGGGCUGAAGUCGGUCCCAAGGGUAUGGCUGUUCGCCAUUUAAAGUGGUACGCGAGCUGGGUUCAGAACGUCGUGAGACAGUUCGGUCCCUAUCUGCCGUGGGCGUUGGAUGAUUGAAGGGAGUUGCUCCUAGUACGAGAGGACCGGAGUGAACGAACCUCUGGUGUUCGGGUUGUCACGCCAGUGGCACUGCCCGGUAGCUAAGUUCGGAAUCGAUAACCGCUGAAAGCAUCUAAGCGGGAAGCGAGCCCUGAGAUGAGUCAUCCCUGACCCCUUGAGGGUCCUAAAGGGCCGUUGGAGACCACAACGUUGAUAGGUGGGGUGUGUAAGCGCGGCGACGUGUUGAGCUAACCCAUACUAAUUACCCGUGAGGCUUAACCAUACAACACCCAAGAAGUGUUCU
rnacentral:rRNA from 1 species